rnacentral:rRNA from 1 species
ACGAGUGGCGGACGGGUGAGUAAUGUCUGGGAAACUGCCCGGUGGAGGGGGAUAACUACUGGAAACGGUAGCUAAUACCGCAUAACGUCGCAAGACCAAAGAGGGGGACCUUCGGGCCUCUUGCCACCGGAUGUGCCCAGAUGGGAUUAGCUUGUUGGUGGGGUAACGGCUCACCAAGGCGACGAUCCCUAGCUGGUCUGAGAGGAUGACCAGCCACACUGGAACUGAGACACGGUCCAGACUCCUACGGGAGGCAGCAG